rnacentral:rRNA from 1 species
UACGUAGGCAGCGAGCGUUGUUCGGAGUUACUGGGCGUAAAGGGUGCGUAGGUGGGUCUGUAAGUCAGUGGUGAAAUCUCCGAGCUUAACUCGGAAACUGCCAUUGAUACUAUAGGUCUUGAAUUAUCUGGAGGUAAGCGGAAUAUGUCAUGUAGCGGUGAAAUGCUUAGAUAUGACAUAGAACACCAAUUGCGAAGGCAGCUUACUACGGAUAUAUUGACACUGAGGCACGAAAGCGUGGGGAUCAAACAGG